rnacentral:rRNA from 1 species
AUGAGACCACAUCAGUUGGCAUGUAUUACCGCAGAAAAAGAAAGCCUUCCGACCCCAUCAAUAAUCUUUCACUUACUGCAAAAUGCAAAUACGAUUCGCAGUUGGGGAUGUGGCAGUGUUACCGAGGAGUGGGACAGCUUGUAUCCUCAGAAGGUCCAAUUGUUAACUUUGCUUUCUACUCUGCCCGAGCCCGCUCUGAGUUAUGGGCCGAGUGUUAAAACUAAUAUGGCCAAUUCUAUCGAGCAAAGAGAACAGAAAAAGAGUGACAUAAUAAUUCUUCAUUCGGAUGAUGAUGAUGAAAGCACAGGAGCACACAAAUAA